UUGUCUUCAUUUCUGAAGGAGACAGUAUGAGAACAGCUGCUAGUAAUGUUCUUUUUGUACUGUAUAAUGUUCUGCUAAAAAAUAAAUAUUUUAAUUACAGAAUAUACCCUCUGUUGACCCCUGCUACAACUACACUGUGCUGGACAAUCCAUGGAGAGCCACUAACAUAUAUGCUUCUGGCAGUAAUUGUGACCGUAUGUCACUUCCUGGAGUGGCUGGUAUCGCCUCUUCAUUAACAACAUGAGCCAGCCAGAUCCCAGACACGUGCAGUUGCUCAGUACAGCUGUGGCACUGCUGCCCCACUGUGGAUUCGGGGUGGACACCCAACAGUUGAAGAUGGAGUCGUCACUGAGAUGUCUGCGGUCACUAUAACAAUUACUGCUGCUUUUUCGGUCUUUUCCCAUUAAAGUCAAAGCCUGUCCAGGCAAUUAUUAUGUCUAUGAGCUGGUUAGACCAACUCUCUGCAAUUCAGCAUACUGUGCAGUGUAUUCUUCUGCUGACCCCUGCUACAACUACACUGUGCUGGACGAUCCGCGGAGAGCCAACAGCAGUCACCUAUCAAGCUCCUCCAAGUGUGACAGUGAUCUCACCUCGAGAGGCUGGUAUCGCUCUUCAUUAACAACAUGAGCCUCAGAUCCCAGACACAUGUGUUGAAAAGUACAGCUGUGGCACUCAUGUCCCACUGUGGAUCUCGCGAUGGACACCCAACAGUUGAAGAUGGAGUCGCCACCGAGAUGUCUGUGGUCACUGGAUCAUUAUUGCUGCUUUUUUUGGGUCUUUACCCAUUAAAGUCAAAGCCUGUCCAGACAAUUAUUAUGUCUAUGAGCUGGUUAGACCUACUAUCUGCUAUUCAGCAUACUGUGCAGUUGUUACUAACAUCAGCAGCACUCAUACAACAGUCAGACCAGAGACGCAGCACAGCUGGUAAUGUAGUCUGAUAUUUCCUCUGUUGAUUUGUGUUUUGAUUGAAUGUUUGUGGAUCAUUGCAGAUAUUUUCAUUUUCGAGGUUGAUGCAUUAGUAUGAUGGUAUGAUUG